UGAGCGGCGGUUCUUAUGGAAUGUGGUU
rnacentral:piRNA from 1 species